UACGUAGGGUGCAAGCGUUGUCCGGAAUUAUUGGGCGUAAAGAGCUCGUAGGCGGUCUGUCGCGUCGGCUGUGAAAUCCCGGAGCUCAACUCCGGGCCUGCAGUCGAUACGGGCAGACUGGAGUUCGGCAGGGGAGACUGGAAUUCCUGGUGUAGCGGUGAAAUGCGCAGAUAUCAGGAGGAACACCGGUGGCGAAGGCGGGUCUCUGGGCCGAUACUGACGCUGAGGCGCGAAAGCGUGGGGAGCAAACAGG
rnacentral:rRNA from 1 species